rnacentral:rRNA from 1 species
UCUGAUGGCGAGUGGCGAACGGGUGAGUAACAUAUCGGAACGUGCCUAGUAAUGGGGAAUAACUAAUCGAAAGAUUAGCUAAUACCGCAUACGACCUACGGGUGAAAGCAGGGGAUCUUCGGACCUUGCGUUAUUAGAGCGGCCGAUAUCUGAUUAGGUAGUUGGUGGGGUAAAGGCCUACCAAGGCGACGAUCAGUAGCUGGUCUGAGAGGACGAUCAGCCACACUGGGACUGAGAUACGGCCCAGACUCC